rnacentral:rRNA from 1 species
UGGGGAAUAUUGCACAAUGGAGGGAACUCUGAUGCAGCGACGCCGCGUGAACGAAGAAGGCUUUCGAGUCGUAAAGUUCUUUUAUAUGGGAAGAUAAUGACGGUACCAUAAGAAAAAGCCCCGGCUAACUACGUGCCAGCAGCCGCGGUAAUACGUAGGGGGCUAGCGUUGUCGGAAUCACUGGGCGUAAAGGGUUCGCAGGCGGAAAUGCAAGUCAGAUGUAAAAGGCAGUAGCUUAACUACUGUAAGCAUUUGAAACUGCAUAUCUUGAGAAGAGUAGAGGUAAGUGGAAUUUAUAGUGUAGCGGUGAAAUGCGUAGAUAUUAAAAAGAAUACCGGUGGCGAAGGCGACUUACUGGGCUCAUUCUGACGCUGAGGAACGAAAGCGUGGGUAGCAAACAGG